GGAACAAAUCGCAGGGGAUUUCUGUUUCUAACGAAAGCGCACGCUCGUCUCCAUUUGUGUCGCUACUAGUGUCUUUGCUGUCCUGGGAUCAGACUGUCAUGUUCGCUCGAAGCUCCAAGAGGAGAAACUUCACCUCAUCGCUGAGCCCUGCGGAUGAGCUCCAGAGAGGACAGCCCUGUAUCACCUGUGGAGAUCAGUGUCCUGGCUUUUCCUUGCACGCAUGGAGUUGCAGAUGCUCUAACUCAGACAAGCUGUGCUCCAAACCUCUGAAUAAUGGAUCUGGAGCAUGAGGAGAAUGGUUGAUGAGUGUGUCUGUAUCACUUGUUUGUGGAUGUUUGCCUCUUUGUGUGUUUGUGUGUGUGUGUGUGUGUGUGUUUGUGUAUAGUAGCUUUGAUUUGUAUGCUGCUAUGUACACUGUUGCUCCAGAUGUUGUUGUGGCAGAAGAAGCCGACUCACCGACUCACUGCUGAUGUUUCUUUCCAAACUCUUGAGUGUGUGACAGUUGUUUUAUAUCAAAGAUCACAGUGGAUCAGCAGAGACACAAUAAAAUGAUCCAUAUUGUGAUUGCAUUUCCAUAAUGGUUACAUGUAAAAACAUGGUUCUAUAG